rnacentral:rRNA from 1 species
UACGUAGGGUGCGAGCGUUAAUCGGAAUUACUGGGCGUAAAGCGUGCGCAGGCGGUUUUGUAAGCCAGAUGUGAAAUCCCCGGGCUUAACCUGGGAAUGGCAUUUGGGACUGCAAGGCUGGAGUGUGGCAGAGGAGACUGGAAUUCCCGGUGUAGUAGUGAAAUGCGUAGAUAUCGGGAGGAACACCAGUGGCGAAGGCGGCCUUCUGGCCUGCAACUGACGCUGUAGUGCGAAAGCGUGGGGAGCGAACGGG